ACGCUCGACACCUACGGGGGGCAGCAGUGGGGAAUAUUGCACAAUGGGGGAAACCCUGAUGCAGCGACGCCGCGUGGGCGAAGAAGUAUUUCGGUAUGUAAAGCUCUAUCAGCAGGGAAGAUCAUGACGGUACCUGACUAAGAAGCUCCGGCUAAAUACGUGCCAGCAGCCGCGGUAAUCUGAGCGGGCUGGCAAGGC
rnacentral:rRNA from 1 species